rnacentral:misc_RNA from 1 species
GAUGAAGAACGUAGCGAAAUGCGAUAAGUAAUGCGAAUUGCAGAAUUCAGUGAAUCAUCGAAUCUUUGAACGCACAUUGCGCCCGCCAGUAUUCUGGCGGGCAUGCCUGUUCGAGCGUCAUUACAACCCUCAGGCCCCCGGGCCUGGCGUUGGGGAUCGGCGGAAGCCCCCUGUGGGCACACGCCGUCCCUCAAAUACAGUGGCGGUCCCGCCGCAGCUUCCAUUGCGUAGUAGCUAACACCUCGCAACUGGAGAGCGGCGCGGCCAUGCCGUAAAACACCCAACUUCUGAAUGUUGACCUCGAAUCAGGUAGGAAUACCCGCUGAACUUAAGCAUAUCAAUAAGCGGAGGA